rnacentral:rRNA from 1 species
GAUGAACGCUAGCGGCAGGCCUAACACAUGCAAGUCGAGGGAGAAGCCCUUUCGGGGGCAGAAACCGGCGCACGGGUGCGUAACGCGUAUGCAACCUACCUUUCACAGGGGGAUAGCCCGAAGAAAUUUGGAUUAAUACCCCAUAAUAUUAUUGGAUGGCAUCAUUUGAUAAUUAAAACUAAGGUGGUGGAAGAUGGGCAUGCGUCCUAUUAGCUAGUUGGAGUGGUAACGGCACCCCAAGGCUACGAUAGGUAGGGGUCCUGAGAGGGAGAUCCCCCACACUGGUACUGAGACAGGGACCAGACUCCUACGGGAGGCAGCAGUGAGGAAUAUUGGUCAAUGGUCGGAAGACUGAACCAGCCAUGCCGCGUGCAGGAAGAAUGCCUUAUGGGUUGUAAACUGCUUUUAUAUGGGAAGAAUAAGGUGUACGUGUACAUUGAUGACGUACCAUAUGAUAGCUCGCAUCC